rnacentral:rRNA from 1 species
UACGUAGGGGGCAAGCGUUUGUCCGGAAUUCAUUGGGCGAAAGCGCGUGUAGGCGGCCCGGUAAGUCCGCUGUGAAAGUCGGGGGCUCAACCCUCGAAUGCCGGUGGAUACUGUCGGGCUAGAGUGCGGAAGAGGCGAGUGGAAUUCCUGGUGUAGCGGUGAAAUGCGUAGAGAUACGGAAAGAAACACCACGGCGAAAGCACUCUGCUGGGCCGACACUGACACUGAGAGACGAAAGCUAGGGAAGCGAAUGGG